rnacentral:misc_RNA from 1 species
UGUGGUUGGAUUCUUGAAUAUUGAAUAGCGGAUUAAUGGUGGGAUAUAAUUUGCAUGUUGGUAUAAUGGGAUUUUGCCAAUAUAGAAGAGAAUUGAUGUUGGUGAUGUGUGGUUGAAUAUUUCCAAGUUCUUGUUUGUUCUGUGUUUCUUGUAUAUGUUGCCUACCUUUUUAGUGGAAGUAGCAUAGGAUGACAUAUGGGAUUGGUUCUUUGCUCUCUUGCAUUGAAUCUUAUUGUAAAUCAAAUUAA